UACGUACCGUCCAAACGUUAUUCGGAAUUACUGGGCUUAAAGGGUACGUAGGCGGCGCUGUCAGUCGGGUGUGAAUCCCAGGGCUCAACCCUGGAACUGCGCCCGAUACUGCAGUGCUUGAGGGAGACAGAGGUAAGCGGAACUGAUGGUGGAGCGGUGAAAUGCGUUGAUAUCAUCAGGAACACCAGUGGCGAAAGCGGCUUACUGGGUCUCUUCUGACGCUG
rnacentral:rRNA from 1 species